GACGAACGCUGGCGGCGUGCCUAACACAUGCAAGUCAGGGAGAAAAGGGUAGCAAUAUCCUGAGUAAACCGGCGGACGGGUGAGUAACACGUAGGUAAUCUACCUUGGAGUUUGGGACAACCUCGCGAAAGCGGGGCUAAUACCGGAUAACACAAUCGGUUCUCAUGAAUCGGUUAUCAAAGCUUCCGAGCGCUUCAAGAUGAGCCUGCGUCCGAUUAGCUAGUUGGUGAGGUAAGGCUCACCAAGGCUACGAUCGGUAGCCGACCUGAGAGGGUGAUCGGCCACACUGGGACUGAGAUACGGCCCAGACUCCUACGGGAGGCAGCAGUGAGGAAUAUUGGUCAAUGGACGAAAGUCUGAACCAGCAACGCCGCGUGAGGGAUGAAGCACCAAGGUGUGUAAACCUCUGUUAGAGGGGACGAGCGAUCCCGAUCUUCGGGAUGUGACGGUACCCUCAGAGAAAGCCCCGGCUAACUCCGUGCCAGCAGCCG
rnacentral:rRNA from 1 species